CCUACGGGGCGCAGCAGUGGGGGAUAUUGCACAAUGGGGGAAACCCUGAUGCAGCGACGCCGCGUGUGGGAAGACGGUCCUCUGGAUUGUAAACCACUGUCCCCAGGGACGAAGAUGACGGUACCUGGGGAGGAAGCUCCGGCUAACUACGUCCCAGAAGCCGCGGUAAUACGUAGGGAGCGAGCGUUGUCCGGAAUUACUGGGGGAAAAGGGAGCGUAGGCGGGACUGCAAGUUGGGUGUCAAAUCUACCGGCUCAACCGGUAGCCGCACUCAAAACUGCAGUUCUUGAGUGAAGUAGAGGCAGGCGGAAUUCCUAGUGUAGCGGUGAAAUGCGUAGAUAUUAGGAGGAACACCAGUGGCGAAGGCGGCCUGCUGGGCUUUUACUGACGCUGAGGCUCGAAAGUGUGGGGAGCAAACAGGAUUAGAUACCCCUGUAGUC
rnacentral:rRNA from 1 species